CUUAGGCCGCCAUGUAGCUGAGAAGCCUCUCACACUGCAAGUUCAACUCCCUGAAGGCAAUGCUUGGCUCCUUCUGGUUUUAAGUUACAGGCUGCUGGCGGUGUUGUCCUUGAAAGACAUGAAUGUGUUCCUCUGAGAUGCUGCAUGUAUGAUACUCAGUGAUCAAGUCGCCACGUAGCCUCUAACGAAGCACUGGAAGGACAUUCUGACUGGAAGGACAUUCUGACUGGA
rnacentral:lncRNA from 1 species